CUGCUACUCCCUCCGUUCCGAAUUAUUUGUCUUGGAUUUGUCUAGAUACAGAUGUAUCUAGACUCAUUUUAGUGCUAGAUACUUCUGUAUCUAGACAAAUCCGAGACAAGUAAUUUAGAACGAAGGGAGUACAUG
rfam:Triticum aestivum genome assembly, contig: Triticum_aestivum_CS42_TGACv1_scaffold_642073_T_6BS-0.183951_2BS-0.180374